rnacentral:misc_RNA from 1 species
UAGUAUGUAUGUCUUGGUCUUUCAUCGUGUUUAAAAUUCAUAGUUGCCGUGGUAAUUCCGUUGGCAAGAAUGGCAAACAUGACAACAGUUCGAAAUUGUGGGGACCGUAAAACUGCGUGACAGGAAGGCGAUGCCAGGCCAGCGUGCUUAUUCUCAUCCAAAGUCACAAGUUUCCAGCCAUUGUCAUCGCCGGUUAGGAUCUGGAAUUAUAAUAAUACAAUCGAAUGAGCUAUGUUGCAAAAUAGGCUCAGCAACAAUGACUAAAAUAUGCUAACCUGAGAAGCGGAACUUCCGCUGAUAUGACCUCGAACGCCCCACAUUUGUUGAAAUUGGACUCUUAUUUCAUUGAAUGUUUCCGUAAUAACGGCAAUGAAAACAUUCUUAACAAGCCAAGCCAAGAAAAAGAUCAUUGUACUGAAGUAAAAGGCUGCUCUCCAUCCAGGACAUUGAUAUCCAGAUUCCGGAUCAGUAGAGCAGAAUGUAUCUGGUAUAGCUAAACUGUUUAUCGUUAUGUGGUUUGAAUCAGUUGUAUUAAGAACACAAUGAUUUUUCAAUUCUCCAAAAAAUUGAACUCCCAGUAAUCCGUAAAGAGACAUAAAGAAAAGGAAGAACAAUGUUACAUUGUAAAUUUGUUGACUUGAUCGCCUGAAAAUAAAUAUUUACUAAAUAUUAUAUUCACAUGUAAUGAUAAUAAUUACCAAUGCUCGAUUGUAUAUCAUCCAUUUGUAUACUCACUUGAAGAUUUGAUUUAUUCUGGAUUUGGGCAUAGAGAAUUUCAGGAAGACACGUAAAAAUCGAAUCAUGAUCAACGGUCUUGGAGCUCGGAGAAUGGAAGCAUAACUAAAUCGUAACACUAAACCCAACAUUUCAAACAUUUGCAGUAUAACGGACAACCACAAAAAUAACACCAUACUCGCAUCAAAUUGGCACCAAUGAUCUUUCAAGUAAGGCACUUCUCCCUGAAAAAAAUUAAGUGCAACUUAUUUAUGUUGAACUGCUUCCAGGCAAUUUUUUACACUAUAA